rnacentral:rRNA from 1 species
AUACGGAGGGUCCAAGCGUUAUGCGGAAUCAUUGGGUUUAAAGGGUUCGCAGGCGGUUUAAUAAGUCAGUGGUGAAAUCUCGGGGCUCAACCUCGAAACUGCCAUUGAUACUGUUAGACUUGAAUACAGUUGGAGUAGGCGGAAUGUGUAGUGUAGCGGUGAAAUGCUUAGAUAUUACACAGAACACCGAUAGCGAAGGCAGCUUACUAAACUGUGAUUGACGCUCAUGAACGAAAGCGUGGGGAGCGAACAGGAUUAGAUACCCUAGUAGUCC